rnacentral:lncRNA from 1 species
AACUUAACCCUUGCUUUUUAUGAGCACUGUUGCCCUAGGGAUGGGAAAAACAAAUAGUGCCCCUCAUUAGUCACCUAUCUAGCUUGUUUCUACCCAUUGAACCUUUUCAGGUUGGGUUACCACCGUGGUGACUUUACUUAUGGGCUUAGCCCUAUCCCCCUCGACAAUUCUAGAACCACUGUUCUAGACAAUCCUUUGGUAAGCUGAUCAGCUAGAUUCCUUUCGGAUCUUACAAAAUUUAGUGCAAUCAAGUUAUUCUUUAAUUUGUAUCUCAAUGAUUUAUGGUGCACUUUCAAGUGCCUAUUCAUUUUCACAUUUGCAUUUUCUUGAUUGCAUUUAUCUAUAGUAGAUCUGC